GAUGAAGAACUUAGCGAAAUGCGAUACUUGGUGUGAAUUGCAGAAUCCCGUGAACCAUCGAGUCUUUGAACGCAAGUUGCGCCCGAAGCCAUCAGGUUGAGGGCACGUCUGCCUGGGCGUCACAUAUCGUUGCCCAAUGCCUAUUGCAGUGCAAUAGGAAUUUCUAGGGCGAAUGAUGGCUUCCCGUGAGCGUUGUUGCCUCGCGGUUGGUUGAAAAUCGAGUCCUUGGUAGGGUGUGCCAUGGUAGAUGGUGGUCGAGUUAGAACGAUACCGAUCAUGUGCAUGCUCCCCAAAAUAUGGCCUCUAUGACCCACACGCGUCUUUUGACGCUCAUGACGAGACCUCAGGUCAGGCGGGGCUACCCGCUGAAUUUAAGCAUAUCAAUAAGCGGAGGA
rnacentral:misc_RNA from 1 species